GAUGAACGCUGGCGGCGUGCCUAAUACAUGCAAGUCGAGCGAACAGACGAGGAGCUUGCUCCUCUGACGUUAGCGGCGGACGGGUGAGUAACACGUGGAUAACCUACCUAUAAGUCUGGGAUAACUUCGGGAAACCGGAGCUAAUACCGGAUAAUAUAUUGAACCGCAUGGUUCAAUAGUGAGAGACGGUUUUGCUGUCACUUAUAGAUGGAUCCGCGCCGCAUUAGCUAGUUGGUAAGGUAACGGCUUACCAAGGCAACGAUGCGUAGCCGACCUGAGAGGGUGAUCGGCCACACUGGAACUGAGACACGGUCCAGACUCCUACGGGAGACAGCAGUAGGGAAUCUUCCGCAAUGGGCGAAAGCCUGACGGAGCAACGCCGCGUGAGUGAUGAAGGUCUUCGGAUCGUAAAACUCUGUUAUUAGGGAAGAACAAAUGUGUAAGUAACUAUGCACGUCUUGACGGUACCUAAUCAGAAAGCCACGGCUAACUACGUG
rnacentral:rRNA from 1 species